rnacentral:lncRNA from 1 species
CAUCCUCCCAGCAGCGUGGCCAUGUGGCCGUGAAUGAUGGAAGUCAAUGCUGGAAUUCACGGCCCCCAGAAGACUCCGAGUGCAGGUGACCCGGCGGAGUCACUUUUUCCCAACUCCUCCCAUCAGUCCCUUCUGUGUAUGACUUUUCCCCUUUACUCUGAAGUGGGACAGAGUGUUGGAUCUUCUGUGGGAGAAGACAAGAGGAUGGGAAUGAACCUACAUCAACUCCUGUCUCAGAGAAGCUUAGAGAGAAAAAUUCUCUCCCAAGGCUCUUUCCCCCUAACUUCUCUGUUUAGCUCAAUUGUGCCCAGGGGAAAUCCGCGUCAGCUCGGGUGUACAUGGUUUCAUAUUUUCCUUGCUUCGGAGAAUA